AGGUGAAAGUAUGAAGGAGCUGAAAAUUCUGGGAGCAGAAGAAGAUUUGAAGGAUUUGAAGCUUGCUCUCAUUGACUUUAAUGUUAAAAUAAAAUGUUUAAAACCUUAAUAUUUGAAAAAGUAUAAAUAGUUGAAAAAUACUAGAAGAAGUCCCAUUAUCUGCUUAAAGAGCUAAAGAUUUGAAAAAUUGAAUGGUUUAAAUAGCUGAAGUUAGAGAGCCAAAAAACGU